rnacentral:rRNA from 1 species
AGAGUUUGAUCCUGGCUCAGGAUGAACGCUAGCGGCAGGCCUAAUACAUGCAAGUCGAACGGUGUCUUCGGACAUAGUGGCGCACGGGUGCGUAACACGUAUGCAACCUACCUUACAUUGGGGGAUAGCCUUUCGAAAGGGAGAUUAAUACCGCAUAAGACAGUAGCUGGGCAUCCAGCAGCUGUUAAAGAUUUAUCGAUGUAAGCUGGGCAUGCGUCCAAUUAGCUAGUUGGUGAGGUAACGGCUCACCAAGGCUAUGAUUGGUAGGGGAACUGAGAGGUCAAUCCCCCACACUGGCACUGAGAUACGGGCCAGACUCCUACGGGAGGCAGCAGUAGGGAAUAUUGGGCAAUGGACGCAAGUCUGACCCAGCCAUGCCGCGUGCAGGAUGAAGGCGUUAUGCGUUGUAAACUGCUUUUAUACAGGAAGAAACGACUCUUGCGAGAGGCAUUGACGGUACUGUAUGAAUAAGCACCGGCUAACUCCGUGCCAGCAGCCGCGGUAAUACA